GUGACUGCGUACCUUUUGUAUAAUGGGUCAGCGACUUAUAUUCUGUAGCAAGGUUAACCGAAUAGGGGAGCCGGAGGGAAACCGAGUCUUAACCGGGCGUUAAGUUGCAGGGUAUAGACCCGAAACCCGGUGAUCUAGCCAUGGGCAGGUUGAAGGUUGGGUAACACUAACUGGAGGACCGAACCGACUAAUGUUGAAAAAUUAGCGGAUGACCUGUGGCUGGGGGUGAAAGGCCAAUCAAACCGGGAGAUAGCUGGUUCUCCCCGAAAGCUAUUUAGGUAGCGCCUCGUGAAUUCAUCUCCGGGGGUAGAGCACUGUUUCGGCUAGGGGGCCAUCCCGGCUUACCAACCCGAUGCAAACUGCGAAUACCGGAGAAUGUUAUCACGGGAGACACACGGCGGGUGCUAACGUCCGUCGUGAAGAGGGAAACAACCCAGACCGCCAGCUAAGGUCCCAAAGUCAUGGUUAAGUGGGAAACGAUGUGGGAAGGCCCAGACAGCCAGGAUGUUGGCUUAGAAGCAGCCAUCAUUUAAAGAAAGCGUAAUAGCUCACUGGUCGAGUCGGCCUGCGCGGAAGAUGUAACGGGGCUAAACCAUGCACCGAAGCUGCGGCAGCGACNGGCUUAGAAGCAGCCAUCAUUUAAAGAAAGCGUAAUAGCUCACUGGUCGAGUCGGCCUGCGCGGAAGAUGUAACGGGGCUAAACCAUGCACCGAAGCUGCGGCAGCGAACGUAUCACCCAAGACAACUUUACGGAGUUGACGAUUGACGGAGCGAAGCGACGUCAAAGCGUUCAUUAAAGUCGAGUUGGCUUAGGGAUACGUUCGUUGGGUAGGGGAGCGUUCUGUAAGCCUGCGAAGGUGGCCUGUGAGGGUUGCUGGAGGUAUCAGAAGUGCGAAUGCUGACAUNCGCUUAUGCGUUGUUGGGUAGGGGAGCGUUCUGUAAGCCUGUGAAGGUGGCCUGUGAGGGUUGCUGGAGGUAUCAGAAGUGCGAAUGCUGACAUAAGUAACGAUAAAGCGGGUGAAAAGCCCGCUCGCCGGAAGACCAAGGGUUCCUGUCCAACGUUAAUCGGGGCAGGGUGAGUCGACCCCUAAGGCGAGGCCGAAAGGCGUAGUCGAUGGGAAACGGGUUAAUAUUCCCGUACUUGGUGUUACUGCGAAGGGGGGACGGAGAAGGCUAUGUUGGCCGGGCGACGGUUGUCCCGGUUUAAGCGUGUAGGUGUGUGUUCCAGGUAAAUCCGGUUCACUUUAACACUGAGGCGUGAUGACGAGGCACUACGGUGCUGAAGCAACAAAUGCCCUGCUUCCAGGAAAAGCCUCUAAGCAUCAGGUAACAUCAAAUCGUACCCCAAACCGACACAGGUGGUCAGGUAGAGAAUACCAAGGCGCUUGAGAGAACUCGGGUGAAGGAACUAGGCAAAAUGGUGCCGUAACUUCGGGAGAAGGCACGCUGAUAUGUAGGUGAAGCGGUUUACCCGUGGAGCUGAAAUCAGUCGAAGAUACCAGCUGGCUGCAACUGUUUAUUAAAAACACAGCACUGUGCAAACACGAAAGUGGACGUAUACGGUGUGACGCCUGCCCGGUGCCGGAAGGUUAAUUGAUGGGGUCAGCGCAAGCGAAGCUCCUGAUCGAAGCCCCGGUAAACGGCGGCCGUAACUAUAACGGUCCUAAGGUAGCNGACGCCUGCCCGGUGCCGGAAGGUUAAUUGAUGGGGUCAGCGCAAGCGAAGCUCCUGAUCGAAGCCCCGGUAAACGGCGGCCGUAACUAUAACGGUCCUAAGGUAGCGAAAUUCCUUGUCGGGUAAGUUCCGACCUGCACGAAUGGCGUAAUGAUGGCCAGGCUGUCUCCACCCGAGACUCAGUGAAAUUGAACUCGCUGUGAAGAUGCAGUGUACCCGCGGCAAGACGGAAAGACCCCGUGAACCUUUACUAUAGCUUGACACUGAACAUUGAGCCUUGAUGUGUAGGAUAGGUGGGAGGCUUUGAAGUGUGGACGCCAGUCUGCAUGGAGCCGACCUUGAAAUACCACCCUUUAAUGUUUGAUGUUCUAACGUGGACCCGU
rnacentral:rRNA from 1 species